rnacentral:lncRNA from 1 species
UGACACUGUAUGUUAACCUCUUAAUGUAGUUGAUAAUUUGACAUGUUGAUGCAUAACCACAGUCAGCUCCACGGACCCAUGGGCCCACUGACUUUGGCGGUAACAAUCGCAUACAAUUUCUCUGGCAGCCAUGAGGGCACUGCUCAUUGAUACACGUGAUCACAGCAUUCAAAUGCGGCCAAUACUUGGCUUAUAUCACACUACUCAACCACGCUCCAAAUGGCACCGAAGUUCGGUACCUCAACCCAUAACUGGGUUAUAGUUUUACAAUUGUUGUUCGCAUGCUCUCAGUGCGACACACCCCCUGUUUCCCCCCCCCCUCCAUCCCCUUCCAACCCCGCCAGUAGAGAACCUACAAUUCCUACAAUGAGCCACAGGAUUAAUAAAAUGCGGAGGAAACGGACAGCACGAGCUGCUGAUGAAUAUAUUCUGUCCACACACACACAUUGGUACCACAUCUGCGACAGGUACCCACAAUAUCAACAGAGAAUUACUUCUUAUCUUACAAGCCACCCACAACCCCGCUCACAUUCAACCAUAGCCGAAGGCACAGCUUACACCAUGGCACCACUAUAUGAGAAUACAAAGCUAUAAUGUUAGGGGGCUGAACACCCCAUAUAAGAGGCACUGCCUCUUCAGAGAUCUUAAAAGGGAUCAACCUGAUGUCAUUUGCUUGCAAGAGACACACUUUAAAUCCCCACCAGCAAUGAAACAAGCCCUAUAUCCACACCAGUUCCAUGCCACGUCCGGGAAAAAAACUGGGGGCACAUCAAUCUUAAUCAGCAACACGGUCUCCUUCCACCACCACGACACAAAGAAAGACAUAGAGGGAAGGUACAUCAUAGUCAUAUGCACAAUCAACAACUCUAAAUACACUCUGGCCAAUAUAUACGCACCAAACACAAACCAAAGAAACUUUCUACAUAAAAUACUAACAUUACUACAACCGAUUCAGGAAGGCAUUCUAGUUCUCUGUGGGGACUUCAACCAAAUUCUAGACCCCCACAGCGACACGACUUCUGCAACCACCAAAGGGUCUCAGGCUAGACACGACAGGGCAUGCACAACAUACCUCAAACUACUGGACAGCCACCGACUGUACGAUGUGUGGAAAGUCCUACACCCACAGGAAAAGGACUAUACAUACUACUCCUCCACACACAAUACAUACACAAGAAUAGAUAGAUUUCACUUGGAGAGCCAACACCUAGACCAAGUGCUAGACUGCUCCAUAGGCCAGAUCACGUGGUCUGACCAUGCCCCACUGACAUUGACCCUAAAAGACAACUAUGACUACAAGCACAAGAGCCCAUGGAGACUAAACGAAACGUUGCUGACGGACGAAUCCUUCGCUAAGCAACUUGAGGAAGCCAUCUCGGAAUUCUUCACGUUGAAUAGCACAGGGGAAACAACAGCUAGCACAGUAUGGCAAACACACAAAGCAGUCAUUAGGGGGUUACUUUUGAGGCGGGCAGCACAACUAAAACGUUCCAGCCAAACCCAGUGGCUGGCAUGGCACAAACAACUAGCGGAUCUUACGACCGUGAACAAAACCCUCCCGACGGUGACAACACAGAAAGCCAUUAAAGACAUUGCGGAUAAGAUCAAACUUCACACUUUAGAACGAGUAGGGUUUAAUCUUCGCAAACUUAACUCCACACACUACGCCCAGGGAAACAAAGCCAGCAAAACGUUAGCCGCAAGACUGAAAAGAAAAGAAGCUAACACAAAGAUCUCACACAUCUUCACCCACGAUAACAAAAAAGUAAUCUCCCCCAUCGAUAUCAGCAACACGUUCGCUAACUACUAUGAUAAACUAUAUAAUCUGGCACAAUCCAACCAAUCACCUACCCCCGCGGACAAAGAGAUAGAGACCUACUUAAGAGACAUACCCCUCCCGACUCUCACGAGAGACCAAUCGGCCCAACUAGCCAACCGAGUCACAACAAGUGAAGUGAUUGAAGCCAUACGCACUCUGCCUAAAAACAAAGCACCAGGUCCAGACGGAUUUACGAAUACGUACUACAAAAAGUUCGCAACUCAACUAGCCCCCUCACUGACCUCCCUAUUCAACGAGGCCACUCAGAACAAGACGCUCCCAACAGACCUCCUUUUGGCACACAUCAUUACACUCCCCAAACCCGGCAAACCACCGACCCACUGCCCAAACUUUAGACCAAUCUCCCUAUUAAACACAGAUGCUAAAAUAUAUGCAAAGAUAUAUGCCCGUCGCCUAGGGUCGAUACUCCCAACACUGAUCCAUGAUGACCAGGUGGGGUUCGUGGCAGGCAGACAGGGAGCUGACAAUACACGCAAAGUGCUAGAUCUCAUUCACAGCAUAAGGAGGAAAAAUUUAAGCGGUCUCCUAGUCUCGCUUGACGCGGAGAAAGCUUUUGAUAGACUUAACUGGAAAUUCCUCCAAAUGGUCUUGACGAAAUUUGGCUUCCCCCGCCAAUUCAUAAACACGGUAGCGGCACUCUAUAGCAACCCGACUGCGAGAGUCCUAAAUGCAGGAUUCCGAUCGAAUGAAUUCACUAUAAACAAUGGCUCACGACAGGGCUGCCCCCUGUCCCCACUGUUAUACGUGCUGGCAUUAGAACCAUUAGCAGCCAAAAUUAGGUCAAACUCUGCAAUACAUGGGAUACCACUCAAUCAACAGGAAUACAAAUUAAGUAUCUUUGCAGACGAUAUAUUCCUAACCCUCACACAACCAUUAAUUUCCCUACCCAACCUUAUGCACCUCAUUACGGAGUACGGACAGCUCUCAUACUACAAACUUAAUGUUACCAAAACACAAGCCCUAAGCCUCAAUAUAAAUAGCACCCAACUGGACACCCUCAAAAAAUCAUUCCCACUGGACUGGAGAAACGACUACCUCACAUUUCUGGGAGUCAAAAUGGCUAAGAACCCCACUUCCUUGUUUCAACUAAACUACCAACCCCUGUUAACAACCUUCAAAAACACCCUAGACUCCUGGGAAGGGAAAUAUCUAUCGUGGGUCGGACGCAUAGCGGCAAUAAAAAUGUCCCUAUUGCCAAAACUGCAAUACCUAUAUAGAUCGCUACAAAUACAAUUACCGGGGAACUUCCUUAAAACUCUAACGAAACUACUCAUAAGCUUCAUAUGGCAACAUAAGACACCUAGAGUAGCAACUAAAGUAUUGCAAAAACCAAUAACCCACGGAGGACUAGGUCUCCCGGACUUGGGAUCAUACUACAAAGCGGCAGCACUAUCAGUGAUACCGCACCUACGCCAAAGGCAAGAGUCACCCCAAUGGCUACAGAUAGAAAACUAUUGGGCCCAACACCCG